AGGGACGGAUCUAUAUAGAGGCAGAGUGUGGCUAUAGCCACACCAGAAUUUUCAGUAUUUUAUUCAUAUACAUAAUAUAUAAUGAGCAUGAAAAAUAAAAAAAAAACAUAAAUCAGAAUAACAAAAACAUAAACUAGAAUAACAAACACAGGAUGAUGAAGCAAAAACGAGAAAGAUUAAAACCAAAGAAGAUGAAGAAGAAGCAAAACGAUACUAGCAUAGGAAGUUUGAAGAAGAAGAAUAGCAAAUGACGGCAGCUUUUGUUCUCUACAAUACAUCAUAACAAUUAAGAGUAGUGUUAUUUGGACAACAAUUUUUUGGACAACUUUUGGGACAACAUUUUUUCCCUUUAUCUUUUGGGACAAAAACAUUAAAAAAAGUGAUUAGGAGAGAGAGUAAGAUUCACAAUGAGAGUGUGAGAGAGAAAGUUGUCUCAAAUGUUGUCUAAAAUUAGAUGUACAAAUAUCAUUUCUC
rnacentral:lncRNA from 1 species